rnacentral:rRNA from 1 species
GGCAGGUCAGCAUACUGCCGUGAAUACGUUCCCGGGCCUUGUACACACCGCCCGUCACACCAUGAGAGUUGGGAAUACCCGAAGCCUGUGAGCUAACUUUUUAAGAGGCAGCAGUCGAAGGUAGAAUCAAUGAUUGGGGUGAAGUCGUAACAAGGUAAC